AUGCAGUUCACAAACACAAAAGCCUUGGAUGAUGAGCUCACCUGCAGUGUAUGCUUGGAGCAGGUUAAUGUUGGAGAUGUACUUUGUAGCUUGCCCUGCCUGCAUCAGUUUCAUGCUAAUUGCAUUGAUCCUUGGUCGCGGCAACAAGGAACGUGCCCUGUUUGCAAAUUCCGAGCAGGAUCUGGGUGGAAUGACGGUGGGUAUGAUGAUAUCACAGACAUGGUUUAA